UGUCUCCGUUUGUUUGUUUUGCAGCAAGGCAAAGGAUCAGGCUGGGAGCCGCCGCAUCCCGGGAGGGAAUGGGGCCGAGAAGAAGGCCUCUCGCCACAGAGGAACAUCUCGCUGCACCGCUGCGGCUGCUGCCAAGACCCCCACCCAGAGAGUAGAGGAAUUGACGUGGAUUAUCAAUAUGCUGUUGUGUCCUUCAUUUAUCAAAUUAUUAUAAUAAAGUAUAUAAUUUAAUCUGC